rnacentral:rRNA from 1 species
GAUGAACGCUGGCGGCGUGCUUAACACAUGCAAGUCGAACGGUGAAGGCGGAGCUUGCUCUGCUGGAUCAGUGGCGAACGGGUGAGUAACACAUGAGCAAUCUGCCCCUGACUCUGGGAUAAGCGCUGGAAACGGCGUCUAAUACUGGAUACGAGCUGCGAAGGCAUCUUCAGCAGCUGGAAAGAACUUCGGUCAGGGAUGAGCUCGCGGCCUAUCAGCUUGUUGGUGAGGUAACGGCUCACCAAGGCGUCGACGGGUAGCCGGCCUGAGAGGGUGACCGGCCACACUGGGACUGAGACACGGCCCAGACUCCUACGGGAGGCAGCAGUGGGGAAUAUUGCACAAUGGGCGAAAGCCUGAUGCAGCAACGCCGCGUGAGGGACGACGGCCUUCGGGUUGUAAACCUCUUUUAGCAGGGAAGAAGCGAAAGUGACGGUACCUGCAGAAAAAGCGCCGGCUAACUACGUG